rnacentral:lncRNA from 1 species
GGUGGCAUUGCAUUCACAGAGAUGCUGAGUGGAUUAAGUAUGAAAACCUGGAAGUGGAUGAUCAAGUGCCUGGAAUCAAUCAAGUUAAAAUUAUUCUGUGAGAACAGCCUCUCUCAGCCACAUAUGAAGUUCCUGCUAAAGCUUACAGUCAUGGUGAACUUGGCUGCUAACAUCCAGAAGAGGAGGAUUUGCCAGAAAAUACCAUCUACUCAUCACUGUGUCCAGAUUUCUCUUCCAUCUUUUAGUAGGAUAACCCUGAGCUGAAUUUUCUUUGUAAGUUACUCCAAAUCUACUCUCCACCCCACUCAAUGCCCCACAAAAUUGACCUGUACAGACUAUAUCAACUGGAAUGCCUUGCCUUCUAAUUCCUUUUAAGUUUAACCAAUAGGACCAACUGACAGGAAAUUUCAAACUGGGAGGAAAGAGAGGUAAGGAGGUAUUCCCUCAACUAGUCUUCAGUUGGCAGUAUCUGCAAACUUCCACUGAAGCCCAUAGCUCCUGCUGAGCAGCCCUCUCCAAAGCUCUUUCUUUGCAGGCUCUGAUAACUGCUCUUUCUCUUUACCUUAGUGUUUAUCAUUAGUCAAGCCUAAGUGUGAUAAUGGCUUCAAAUUGGAGUUAGUUCUAGAAUGCAUCAACAUCGUUUUUUGGUUUUCUUUGCUCACAUAUUUGUAAGUAGCCCCUUGAGGCUGUCUCAUUAUCUUUUUUGAGAGUGCCAUCUAUUUCCUGAACGAUUCAGGGCCCUGUCAACAUUUUUUUCUUAUGGAAACAGAGAGAGGAGGACUGAGAUAUUUUGAGUUACAGAAUGAUAGAUUUAGAACUGGAAAGAAGAUUUAUAUACCAAAACAUGAUGAAAUGGGAUCCAUAAAUAAAAAGUGUUCUUCCCAAGUCAAAGAGCUAAUUUCUUGAGGCAAUGAGGCCAUAAUCAGUUUUCCAACUCCUGGUCAACUCCUUUUUUAAAAAAAAAAACUUAACAACAUCUGGAUUUAAUCAUCCAGAAUCUAAAUAUUGAGAUGAGUCAAUAGGAAUAUGAGUCUUGCUUCAUUUAUUUACCUUUUUGCUUUUUUAAUGUAAUUGCUUUUUGAGGAAGAUUAAUAAGUAGACUGGAAAAGAAGGAGAUCAAUGGAAAUGAAACAGGAUAAAUGAAGAAAGACUAGCACAGAUAAGGACUGCAUUGUAGGGACAGUGGUAGUUGACUUUCUAAAUAGCAGUUAUUGAAAAUACUUGCUGUAGCAUUCCUGGUUGAUGUUUUCAGUUUAUGUUGUGGAUAAAUAGGCCCUGUACCCAGAGUACAUUUUGUGUCUGAAACAAUAAAUUCACAGCUGCCAACCUCACAUAAAAAAAGGGUCACAAUUUCACAAUAUGGGCUCAACUUGGGCUUUGAAUCUGUAUUUCAGUGCUGGAAAAUACAUAUUUCCAUUAUACAAUUAACCUUCCCAGUAUAAGCAUAAACCACCCCAGAACUUAUACUGAUAUAAAAAUUUUACUUUUUAUGUAUACCUGAUGUAUUAUUUUAUGUCUUGUAGAGAUCUACA